CCCCUUGUAGCAUGAUCCAUCUUUUUUUUUAUCAAAAACCUUUGUUUUCUCUUUUCUUCUUGCUUGUCGAGUUGAUUGAGUGUUGGUGUGUAAUAUCCAACUUCUGGUGUGUAAUAUCCAGAGUCUAAGGGCUUCUUAUUUGGUGUGUCAUAUCGAGAUCAGUCGCCUAGGAGUAUCAAGAGAUCAGCCAUCCCUCUUGUGUCACCAUUCGAUCCACUAACCUUGAGAAACUUGAGUCUCUUAUCGCCUAGGAGUAUCAAGAGAUCAUCCAUCCCUCUUGUGUCACCAUUCGAUCCACAAACCUUGAGAAACUUGAGUCUCUUGAUUCGUUUCUGCAUGGACUAUACCAUCUGUUCCAGAGCAUCAUCCUAGGAUCUCAUUAUGUGGUAUCAGAGCAAUUCUGGAAGGGAAGUGUUUGAUUUUUCUCUCUGAUUUUCGUUUCGGUCUGUUCAUAUUCUGUCGAGUUUGAUCUGAUCUGUGUUCUUUGUGUUUAAAUCUGAUAAAUCUGAGAACUUUGAUCACAAGUCUGAGUGUAGUCUUUUCAUAAUCUUGUGGAGAAAGUUAUUAAUUUGUGUUGUCUUUGAAUCUGAUUAGAAUUGAAAGAGAUCGAUCUGUUUCUGAGAAUUGUGAAUCUGUUUUUUUUUUUGUGUUUUAAUCAUCAAAUCCAAAUCUGAAAUUGAACCUGAUUUCGGGAUCUAUCUUUGUUCUGAUUACGGUUUUAUUGUUUCAAUUUGAUUUGUGUCUGGUUAGGUUUGUUUUGUCAAUUUGAAUCUGCUUUGGAUCUGUCGAUUGAAGUUUGUUGAUCAGUUUCUGUUUGGUUUAUGAUUGAUCGUUUCUCUCUGUUGCUUCUGUUUGUUUCUGAUUAUCAAACUUGUUCUGAUUAUCAAUCUGAUUAAUUUUGGGUUGUUUGUCGAUUUGAAUCUGUUCUGGUUUAUUAUUGCUUACUUGUUUCUGUAAAUCGAAAAUCAAUCUAAUAUUUCUCUGUUGUAAUUCUGAGUGUUCUGUUUCCUUAGAACUUGUUACUGCUGUGUGUUGUUUUCUGUUUCAGGUACCAUGGCAGGAGAUCAAAAAGGAGAACCCAGCAAGGAAGAAAAAUUGAUGAUUGAAUCAUUCAAGGCCAGUAUGGGUCUUGUCCUCAAAGAUCAGAUGAGACAACUAAGACUGGACCUGCGACGGGAACUCCAACAAGCUUCUGGUCAGAGUCUUGAGCCUAGAAGCAGUGAGAGGAGACAAAGACGUGAUCAUGAAGGCAGGGGCAAUCACAGAAAUAAAUUUUCUCAUCAAAAGCUGAAAAUCCCUCCUUUUCAUGGCAAGGCUGAUCCUGCUNNNNNNNNNNNNNNNNNNNNNNNNNNNNNNNNNNNNNNNNNNNNNNNNNNNNNNNNNNNNNNNNNNNNNNNNNNNNNNNNNNNNNNNNNNNNNNNNAAGAUGGAGUUGAUUUUCAAAUGUCAAAGCUAUGCUGAAGUAAAGAAGGUUCAAAUAGCCACUGCUGAGUUUUAUAGUUAUGCUUCAAGCUGGUGGAAUCAAUUGGUGUCGUCUAGGAGACACUAUGUAAAAGAACCAGUUGCAACCUGGCUUAAAUUAAGGGCUUUGAUGCGUCAUAAGUAUGUUCCAAGACAGUACCACAAGGAAGUACUUCAAAAACAGUCUUAAACAAAGCCAUGCUCUGCAAACUCAGUACAGGAACAACAAGGCAGAAUGAGAUCAAGUUCAUCCGGUGUUAUUGGUUUACCUAGCAAGACAACAAGAUGGUUCAGUGAGGGGGACAUAAAGAAGCGGUCUCAAGUGAUUAUGGAUGUUGAGAAACAACUCAGAGAGACCCACACCACACGUACAACCAUAGAAGAACAAAACCAAGAGUCAAUCACUUCAGUCUCAGAACUUAAUUCAGCAGAGCCGGUAUCAGCUGUGCCUAUUCAAGAAGAGCAAGCCAAAGCAACAUCACCUAUCUUUAAUAAAGAAGAGCAGCCUGGUCAGAACGUCAUUGUUCCUUUCAAACAAGACAUGGUAGCAGAGGAGAUACCCAGGGAACCACAGAGAGCUCACAGAAUGAAUCAACUAAUUGUCUUUGAUCCAUGUGAUUUUCAAAAGACCUUCUUAGGUCAGACUAUUUUGAGGUCUACACUUUUCGAAAAGAAGGGUUAUAAUGACCAGAGUAUCAAUGAUGAGUCCUUGGCUAAGUUGGCGAAGCAACAAGCAAACCUUGAAAACUGUCUAGCCGCCAACUUUGACAUAGGAGCAGUCCAAGGAUCAUAUCUCAACAACCAAAGGGAUGAAAGCAACAAACUCGACUUCCAUGGAAACUUAACUCAUCAGGGACUCACGGCGAAUUGGAAUCAUGUCUAAAGCUUCUCAGGGGAAAGAGNNNNNNNNNNNNNNNNNNNNNNNNNNNNNNNNNNNNNNNNNNNNNNNNNNNNNNNNNNNNNNNNNGAAAGAGUUAUGGGUUCUAGAAGUCGGGUGAACCUGUGUUUGCUUUGUUUGAAUUUUUCUGAGUUUAGAACAUCUCAAUCCUAUCUAUGGCGACCAGGUGAGCAUGCUAAGGUAACUAAUCAUGUUUUCAAGAGUUCUUUUAUUGAUUACACAGAUAUGAUGCACUUGUUUUUGUCAAAAGAGCCAUGUACAGAUUAUGAUGAAGCUUUGAAGCAUACAAGGAGAAAGAACAAGCGUGAGGAAGACAAGCGUUUCAAGCCACCUGAUCUGAACCAGGAGAGACAUCAGGACAUUAAUUGAUUCAUCCUCAUCAAAGAAGCACCUCCAGAUGCAGCAUACAAGCCAAAACCGAGCAAAAACCAAUUUGGGAUAAGACUCUUACUCUUUGAUAAAUUUUCAUGUGCUAACUGGUUUUGUUUCAAUGUAUCAGGUUUAAGGAAUGCAUCAAGUAGAACCAAACGGAUCAGUCCCUCCUACAUAAUCGAACCAAUCAGAAAUAAUGCCUAUCAAAGAGGCUUGCAAGGUAAGUGUAAUCUGAUUUUAAACUUUGAUAUUACUGACUCGGCCCCCUCUAUUGCAGGUAAAGCAGAUUUCAGGACAAAUCUUUUUGAAGAGGGAGGGGAUGAUGUGAUCAUGGAAAGCACCAAGGAAUGGAAGUAUUAACCUGAUCCUGAAGAGAUUGUAGCUGAGUAGGCAACAUUGAAGAAUGCUUGGAAACAAGAAGUAUACAUUAGUCUUGGCCGAAGCUUGAUCAUCCAAGACACCUUAACCAUCAUUCAAGCUACUUCACUUUCACGCUGAUCAUCAUCUAGGCAAGUAGCUUGUGUGUGCUCUUUUCCUAACCUUUGGUUUUGUCCCACUGGGUUUUCCAAAGGAAGGUUUUUAACGAGGCCACAAGUCUACUUCUCCUAUCUCCUAGAUGAUUGAUCUUGGUCUGUCCACAUGAAGACCUUAUGUUAUAUUUUUUAAGCUAUGCUUUCAUAUUAUUUAGUUUUCGAAAACUCUAGUCUUUGUUGUGUUUCCAAGGGAGCCUUUGUCUUUAUUUCCCUUGUAUUUUCGAGACCUUGUGCAUGUACAAGGCUUCUCCUUUAUAUUCUGGUCGUGACCCCCCUUGUAGCAUGAUCCAUCUUUUUUUUAUCAAAAACCUUUGUUUUCUCUUUUCUUCUUGCUUGUCGAGUUGAUUGAGUGUUGGUGUGUAAUAUCCAACUUCUGGUGUGUAAUAUCCAGAGUCUAAGGGCUUCUUAUUUGGUGUGUCAUAUCGAGAUCAGUCGCCUAGGAGUAUCAAGAGAUCAGCCAUCCCUCUUGUGUCACCAUUCGAUCCACUAACCUUGAGAAACUUGAGUCUCUUGAUUCGUUUCUGCAAGGAUUAUCCCAUCUGUUCCAGAGCAUCAUCCUAGGAUCUCAUUACUAAAGAUGGAACCUUCUAAAGAUAGUUUCACUUUCGUGGAUAACUCCCAAGCAAACUCAGCAAGCAUGAUCAAGGAUGUUAAGGUGGAGAUAGGGGAAUGCAUUAUCCCUGUGGACUUGCAUGCUGUGGAUAUCAAAUCAGGCAAAACAUCUUCACUUCUUUUUGGAAGAGCUUUCAUGGCUACAGUGGGGGCAGUUUGUGAUCUUAAGAGAAAUAAGAUGUGUCUGACUAAUGUUGACGAAACUGUCUUCUAUGUUCCCAUGGAAAAGAAGAAAAGUAAGGAGCUUAUUUCAUGCAUAUAGAUGCUUAAAGAUCCAGGACCUGCAGCUGAUUCAAAUUCGUGAGCCUGCAAAAACCAGAAUCAGCGUCAGUCGACAUUAGAAUUGCAGCAUCGGUCGACUUUCAGCCCUCAGAAUCGAUCGACAAUCAGCCUUCAGCAUCGGACAACUUCCAGUCUUCAGAAUCGAUCGUCGCAAAGCUUUCAGCAUCGAUCGACGCCCUCCGAGUUUUAGAACAGUCCGAGAGUGAAAAGUCUAAGUUUGGGGGAACAACCAGGAAUAGGAAGAAGAAAAAGAAAAGGAAUGCAGAUGCAGAUUUUCUAUCAGUAGUUCCUGUGCAAUGUCAAGAGGGUAGUCUUGAGUAUAGAGUGCGCUGCAGAGGAGGUCAUGAACCUUUUACCAAGUUUAGAGUGCUAUGUGAUCCAGAGCUGGGAGAGAAAGGAGAAGUUUCUGCAAGAGCUUUUAUCAACUGCAUCAACAAAAUGAGGAAGAGAGACAUAAAGACUUGUUUUGGAGCAAGUUUUCAUCCUCAUCCAUACUAAAUCAGAUCACCAAAGUCAAGCUAAAUGACUAUAACAAAGCGCUGAGUGGGAGGCAACCCACUGUUAAGUAAUUUUAUUUGGUUUUAUUUUAUAUUAUUACUGAUUUUCGUUUUUAAUUAUAAUGGAGACCCAAGGAAAAUAGUUGAUAUACCAGCAUCGACCGACAUCUGAUCAUUGACGGCCGCCACCACUUCACAUGAGCAUCGUGCGAUACCUGAUCAGUGUCGCUCGACAGCAAAUCAACAAAAUCGAUCGAUCGCCACUUAACUGUGUUGAUCGACAUUCACAUCCACCAAGCAGGUAUAUCGUCUUACCUUGUUAAUUUCGUACUUAUGAUUAAUUUCCCCACCAAUCUUAGACUAUAUAACAUUCGAGACAGUGUUAUUUAAGUCUGGGGGAGGUUCAACUAAUAUUAUGUUUUAGUUAGCUAUAUAAAACAAAAAGAUCCGAGUAGACGAUUGCCCAGCAUAUCGACCGAUGAGAGCAUAUCGACAGUACAUUACCUACAGCGACCGAUGGUAUCUCCUUUCCAUCGACCGACACUUAAUCUGGUCAGAUAUAUCGUUCUAACUUGUCAAAUUGGGUACUUAUGUUUAUGUUCUCACCAAAAUUCGAAUGGAUAUACACUGGGGACAAUAUAAUUUAAAUCUGGGGGGAGGUUUACCGAUAUCUAGUUAUUGUGAGUCUUAUCAAAUGUUUUCAAAAAAAAAAGAGUGUUGUUAUCAAGUUAAGAAGGGGAUUAUGAUCAAAUACAAUUUUACUUACUCUCUAACCGCUCUCUAGCACCAUUCUUUGAGUUUAUUGACUGCAGGGUGUACUGAAUAGAAACGCCAAAGUGGAUUACCUGCUAAUAACAUCCAUGCUCGCUGAGAAAGUCUGAAGGAACCAAAGCUGACUUCCAACCUUAAUCAACUGAACUUGCUUGUCUUGGGGUUUGGUAUACAUCGGAUCGGAUUCCUCUUUCAGGUCUGAAAGGUCUAAGUCUGUAAAUUUUUGGUUUCCUUCUCUCCUCUUUUUGGCAUCCAAAAAGAAAGAAAAAGAAAAGAUUGAAAUGAUUGAAAUGAUUUCUUGCGGUUUAGAGGGGUAGGAGUGUCUCAUGUGACCCCAUUAUUCUUCUCUAAUGGAAUGAUCACACAUCGUUGGCAACGAGGGGUAGGUACAUUACCGAUGACCCCACUAUCAUCUACACUUUUCCAAGACAAGAAAAAAAUGUAAAGAAAAGUCGAAAAGAAGAUGAAUAAGAUGGACUGCGCCAGGAUCAUUGUUCAUUGGAUUUGAGAUAAAAGGAUUCAGAGAAGAGAGAUAUAGGGAGAAAAGAAACCAGAAUAAGACUACCUGUUUACUUAGAUACCUGCUGGGGUAAGAGUCCAUGUGUCCUUUGAUUGAUACUCACAAGAUUUAGCCUACACAUUUAUAUGCAGAUAUGAGGUCAGUAGAGGGGUAUGUCAGGCGGAAUCAACUAAGCAAUGGGCUGGAUGGUUUGGUUGCUAAGCUAAGGUCUAGUACAUGAAGUGCCUCUAAAGUUGGCACUAAUCUGAUGUGGCUUGCAACACUGCAGAGGUAAAAGUAGUAAGUUUAAAAUUUUGUGUGUCCAUGAUAUUUUCAAACCUCUUUCACAUGACUACUAUAUGUUUUGCUUGAGAACAAAUAAAAGGGUAAGUCUGAGAGAGUUGAUAUAGGUGUUUUAAGAUAUCUUUACUACAAUACAUAGUAUAUUUAGAGUAUUUACAGGUUCAGGGACGAUUUGGAGGAAAGUGGUGAUUUUGGUGUCUUUUGGAGCAUUUGGAGUGCAGAGCUGCACAGACGCAUCAGAUAUUUAGCUAUAGAUGGAGACCUUCCCACCGUUAGAUGGAGCCCAUCGUUUGACACAUGAUAGAGCUUUGAGUUAGCUUUCCAAUGCCACCAGUCUGAGGUCAAUCAGCAUCAUGUAGCAGACGUUAUGCCCGUUUUACUGAAGAGUGGUCUGUAUGUCUCGCGAGAGGAGGCUGUCGAGGAGAUGAAGGACUGUCGAUCGACGGUGCACCCUUGCCAUCGAUCUACGGUGAUGCCAGAAUAUUGGCCAAGCAUAUUUUAUGACCGACUGAAGCCCAAAAGCCACACCAAGUUACCAAAAUACCCAUAGACAACCAGAAACCAUAUUUAUGUAUUUCUAACCCAUUGUUGACGGCUACGAGCUUUCUAUUUUUUUCUUAGGUUUGGAGAGAAGAUCAAUUCUCCUUCAGAGAUUGAUUGGAACUCCAUUGGUUUUAUCAUUGAUUUCUUUAUCGAUUAUAUUAUUCAGACUAUGAUUUGUGUUAUUGAUUUUAUGUCUGAGUAAUCAUCUUGUUAGGUUUAGGGAUUUCAUGAGCUUAAUGUCAAACUGAUAAUCAAUUAGGAUUGCUAGAUUAUCUAUAGAUCUCUACACCAGGGUGAUUUGUAAUACUAGGAUCUGGAAUAGUUGGAAUAGAACGACAGUGUGACUAAUUGUUUGAAUCUAGAAUCAUAGGAUAGUUGAGAGGCACAAAAGUGCAAUCAAUUAACGGAACCCGAACUCUGCUGGAUUAGAUAUCUAGGUGCAUACGAGAGUUGGUCUAGAAAUCUAGUUGAACUUAAUCGAUUAGGUCGUUAAUGCUUGUCUAAGGAAGAAUCGAUCGACGCUUUGGCCAUAACAUCAAUCGACGCUCGAUUCAAGUCAACAAGCGACAGCUGAGACUGGACUUAGACAUCUGAUUAGUAAUUACAUGCGAAAGCUGGAUACUUACUUAUUAAAAUCAUGUUCUAGAAUUGAAUCUAUAAACCAUUAGCAUCUUUGAAUUGUAGUUUUUAAUCUCUUUAUUGAUAAAUCCCCAAGUCCAGCUAUUUCUCCUAAUUGUUUACAACCUCAAUCAACCAAUCGAACAACUACUUUGUUCACCUUGCUUUCAUUUAUUUACUGCUUUAUAAACUGUUUGCCUACCCUAAUCUUGAUUUCUAUAGUCUAUUGUGUGCCCUAGCUCUCUGUGGAUUCGAUCCCUAAGUGCUACAACUCGACCUCUGAUUUGAGAGAGUAUAAAUCACUCCUUAGGGUAAUUUGAGUGAUAUCACAUGGUUGCGACACUAGUUCUAAUUCAGCACGCGACUGGAAACAUGCAUGACCAGGAGGGUCAUCUGCGUAAUGCAGCAGGUCAGAAGAUAGAUGAUCAGGGGGCUGUAAUCCCUGAUACUGAUGCUGAUAUUGCAGCUGCUACACCGAGGACAUUAGCUGAUUACAACAGGCCAGAUCAGUACUACGAGAACAGAUCUGCCAUCCGUCCUCCAGCCACACAGAGGUAAGACUUUGAGUUGAAGCCUCAGUACUUCACACUCGUUGGACAUACAUCCUAUUGUGGGUUAUCACACGAGCAUCCUAUGGACCAUCAGGAAAGGUCUGAGGAUCUAGUUUCUGCUAUUAAAGCCAAUGGAGUCCCUGAGGACUACCUCUUUUGCAAGCUCUUCAAGUACUCACUUGCUGGAGAGGCUUCGCACUGGCUUAAGCAGCUACAACCAGGAUCUCUCACAUCAUGGGCCGAUAUCAAGAAUGCAUUCUUAUGCCACAUCUUUGAUGAGGCACGGGCUGAAGACUUGAGGAGUAAGAUUGCUACAUUCACACAUGUGCCUACAGAGUCAUUCAGAAGCUCCUGGAUCAGAUUCAAAUCAUAUCAGAGAGACUGUCCACACCAUGGAUUUAAUGAAGUGCAGCUGCUCAGUACUUUCUUUAGAGGCAUCGCGCUGGCAUAUCAGAUGGCUCUAGACUUAGCUAGUGAUGGAAAUUUCAACACUAGGAAUCCAGAGGAGGCUGUGAGACUUAUUGAGAACUUGGCAUCCAGCAACAUCACCAAGAACACUGAUUUCUAAUGAAAAAAAUCGGUCCAUGCCCUAGGGAAGGAGUAGUUGGAAGAUGUUAAGGCUAGGCUGGAUAGUGUUCACAAGCUUCUCAAGAAACAAGUUAGCUUUGCAAAGGAUGUAGAGGCUGUAGAUGUCGACAAUGCCAAGGACGAAAAUGAGGAUGUGAACUUUGUCAGUGGUUCAGGCUUUCAAAAUCAGAGGUCUGGAAAUCAGAGUGGAUACAAAAACUCAUAUGGCAAUUGUCAGAAGAGUGGAUACAACCAGAGUUCACAGUACCAAAAACCCUACAACAACAACUACAACAGCAGCAACAAACCUUAUGGAAGUUCUUACUAUCAAAAUCAACUGCCGAAAACUCGAGAGAGAAAGAUAGAGUCCAUGCUUGAUCAAGUUCUUGAGGGUCAGCAGAAGUUAAUAGUGAACUUCAACAGAAAGAUUGAUGAUGUCUACACAGAGCUGAGCUCAAAAUGUAUUUCCUUGAACACACAUGUGAGGAAGUUGGAGACACAAGUGGUUCACACAGGAGACACUAUUAAAAGGCAGGAGGCCUUCAUGAAGGGUAAAGGGGAUAACUCACUGAAGCACCACGUGAAUGCCAUCAUGGAUGAUGAUUUCUAGCAAGUGGUUAAGGGGAAGAAGCUUCAGGAGAGAGACUUCCAAGUCGAAAGCUCCAUGAGUUUUGGCGGUUCACAUUGGUGUCGAUUGACGCCAAGUCACGAACAUCGACCGACGGAGAAGGACGAGCAUCGAUCGACUUCAGUUUCUCAACAUCGAUCGACAAAGGAAGUUGCAUUAUGCGUGACCGUGAGAAUUCUGACUCACGAGGAGUUCGCGGCUAAACACCCACACCCACAUCCACCCAAACCCUUACGAAUCAAGAAGUCAGACGUCGAUCGACACCAUAACCUAGCCGCCGAUCGACAAACAGACUCCACCAACGAUCGACACGAACCAUCCAGCGUCGAUCGACGACCACCUUUGACCUACCGAGUGCAGCUACCAAAAAUAGAUGUAGCACGCCUGAAUGCUAUCAAAAACCCAUGUGUGUUCAGUGACUGAGAAUAAGAGAGAAGAGAGGGAGGAAAGGAACUGGAUAAGACUACAUGUGUGUUCAGAUACUUACAUGAGUUGAUUCCAUGUGUUCAGUGAUCGAUACUCCCAAGGUAAAGCCUACAUGUUUUCACUACAUGUACUAAAUGAGGUCAGUAGAGGGAUUAGUCAGACAUGAUUUGCUAAGAUGUUAAAUGAAUGGAAUUGGUUACCAAACUAGGAUAUUGCAUAUAAAGUAUUUUUAAAAGUUGAGAUUGAUUUGAUGUGGUUGCAAUAUUGUUGAGGUGGUGAUAGUGAGUUCUUAAAUUAUGUGAGUCCCUAUUGUACCAAAAACACCUGUCAGAGAGACUGCUCAUUGUUUUGCUUGAGGACAAGAUCCAAUAACUCCUUCAGAGAUUUGUGAUUGGAACUCUAGUUUAUCUACUCUAUUAUAUUUUAUGCAGUUUUCAAAUCUCUUUGUUAUGAAUUGCUUAGUUAUGUCAGAGUAGUUCUUCUUGUUAGAUUUAAGGUUUAGAUAUUCAUGAGGGAUUAACACAAAAUAUAGAAUUGCUAAGUGUCAGGAAUAUUAAUAAACUAAAUUGUUCUUAAUGCAUGUGUUCUAGAGUAGCUAAAUAGGACGUGGCCUUAAGAUAGUAGGGCGCAAGCGGAAGUUUGGUUCUCUGUCUUAUUAGUGUAAAAUGUGCUAGGAUUGCCAGAAACAAGCGGAAGCUGAUUUAGUUAAACCUAGUGAACACGUAAAACUCGUGCGAUAACGCUCCUUGGAAGGUUCAUCGAUCGACAACUCACUAAUUGCAUCGAUCGAUGGACUGAAAGGUGUAUCGAUCGACACCCCGUUGUUGGAAUCGAUCGACACUUUCUCAGGACCAAUAAGCGACAGCUGAGGUCCUAGAUCCGGUGAUAGAUAGUCUAAAUAUACGAAAGUUGAUUGACUAUUCUUAUUGUUUGAGUUCCAGAAUAUCCAUAUUUGCUUAGUAAUCUAUAUCUCUAUAAUCAUGAUUGUUUGAAUAGAAACCCUAAUUCAAACGUUUCUCAUAUCUAUCUUAAAACCCCAAAUCAAUCAAUCGAAUAAUUACUUGUUCACCCCUGUUAUUUACUGCUUUAAAACCUACUUACCUAGCUUAACUACAUAACUAGAUAGAUCUAUUGUGUGUCUUAGCUCCCUGUGAAUUCGAUCCCAAAAUAUUACAAAUGAACCUCUUAUUUGAGAGAGUAAAUCACUCCUUAGGGUAAUUUUGAGUGAUAUCAUCCACCUAGAUUCUAAGUUCUAUUAGUCUUAUCGGAGAUUUGGGUUUUCCUCUUUUUCAUUGUUCUCUUCUUCUCCUUGUGUCUUCUAAUCGAAAGUUUAUUUGGCUUUUAGGAAUUGCCACUUUCAACUCAAUAUCAAAUAAAUUUGCAAAGUUUGAUUCUUAUGGGUUAAUUUUCAACGAUAAUCUGACAAGAAUAUCGAGCCGAGGAGAGAUUACAACGUCUAAGUAUCUGUUCUCGUUUCUUCGAACCGCUGGUUUUACUAGAACGACCAAGUGCGCGUCGUACAUUAUUGGAAAUACUAUUAAAUGUUUAUGAGUAGAUGUUUUUGACUCAACGUGUAAGAAUUUCGUAAACUGGAUUGGGUCUUUCGUUUCGAAGGAACUUUACGAAAUCAUUGAAACAAAGUGAGGAGAAGCAGAUGAUCAGGAAAAAUAAGCAAUGAACUCGAUGUCAUCCGAGUGAGGUGCACAGUUCGUCAAGUUGUGAGCGAACUAGUCCUGUCCUAGCCCUUAUUGUCUGUUGAUCGUUUCAUAUGAUCUUGUUUGACUUCUCGAAGUUUGUCGAACUGUUUUUUCGAGUUUUAUUUACGGGAAUCGUUUCGCAAGUGUGGUCAAAUUUAAUUUGAGGGAAGUUAUCCCACAAUAAUGUUAUUAUGAAAGCUGUUUCAUAAAAUGUCGUCGAGUGAAAGUCAUUUCGUAAAAUAUUGUCGAGUUUGGCUGUACGAGAGCCCUUUUUGGAAAACUCACGUUUUGCGGCUUUUCCGAAAAUCUAGUUUCUAUCUAGUUUCUGAGUUUUAAUAUCAGAAACUCUAGCUGCGAUGAGCUUAAUUAUCGUGAGCAAAUUUAGUCAAAAAUUUUCUCGUUUCCAUCGGAUUGAUCCUAGGGAGUUUUGAGUACUUUUUCCAUAGUAAGCUUAUUAGAAAAAUAUCGUAAAUUCACAAAAUAUGUUGCUGCUGAAGUGACGCUUGAAUUUUUUUGAAAUCUUAUGUUUCAGAAGACGUUCUAGCAGUGAGGGAUAUGAUCUUCAGUUUUGCUUUGUUUAAUCUUCGUCAGCUAGUUUAGGUUUCAAGUGAUUCUAAAGAAAUCAACUUCGUUUAUCAGAAGUUACUCGGAAGAAGUACAACAGUGGGAUUGGCAACCCAAUUUGUUGUGCUUCUAUUUCCACUUCGUUUAUUCAAAAAUUCUUAAACCAAUAACAAUAGAUUCUAUUAAGAUUUUUGAAAUCCAAGAACUAAUAACAAAGAAAUUUCAAAAUUUUCAAAGUUCACGAGAAUUCACUUUACCAAUAACCCCUUUAAUAAAAUAGCAUUAUUUUAAAACUAAUUUUGAUAUAUAAAAAAAUUUCUCUUUUAUUUGUAUUUUUUAUUUUUAGAAAAUUAAAAACCACGUCACUAUUUAUUUCGUAACUAAAGUAUGCACAAAUGUUUCGUAACUAAAACAUGGUUAUUUAGCCAUGAUUGUGUCACAGUAGAAUCGUAGAUGAAAAGUCUCAAUUUAGAAUGGUUACAAAUGUAUAAGCACAUUUUUUUAUUUUAUGGCUUUUUUUGGCUAAACUUACGUAUAGCCAAAAACAUUGGUUUAUAGCAGUGUUUUGAAAUCCGACUAGAACAUGCGGUUGAAAUGGUAGGGCCGUUAACUCUAUAUCUAAUCAGAUUUUUAUUUUUUUUAAAUCCAUUAUUUAUAAACCUGAUAAAACCCGCAGAGAACCGUUAAAUCCGUGAACCCGGCCACCCGCUGAAAUACUAGUUGACCCAAUAAAUACCUUUUACUUUUUUCUCUUAGAUUUUUUAGUUACUUUAUUAAAUAUGUUUUGUGCUCUAAAUAAAAAUGAGGUUUUCUCUUUUUAACUAUCGUCUUUACUGUCGACUUUGUAUAUCCUUCUACUUAUUUUUAAUUUAUUUUUUGUUUAUCGUGAAUCUCACUUACAAUACGACUUUGAUGAAGAUUUCACUAUGCCACAUGACGAAAAUGAAUUGAACGAUGAUAGAGAGAACAAAAAUUAGUUGAUGUGGUUAGGUAUUAGUUUAAUUUUGUUAUUCGCAUUAGACAUUUAAAUACUUAGAGUUUUUAAGUUUUGAUGUUUUUAUUGUCAUAACUCAUAAUUUGUUACAAAGUUACUAAAUAGUCUAAAUUAUUUUUGAUAUUUUUGAAUGUGAAAUAAAAAUAAAGAAUAAAGAAAACUAAAUUUAAGUAUUUUCUAUAUAUUUUAAAAACUUUUACAGUAAUAAACAAAGAAAAAUAAAUUUAAGUAUUUUCUAUAUAAUUUAAAAUAAUAUCUUUGUGCCUAGAUACAUACAUUCACGUCUUCUUUUUCGAUCUGGCCACGAGUUAGUUUUAGUUUUCUUCGUCUCCUUCUUCUAUUUUAUCUUUGAUCCCUCAUCUGGAGUCUUUGGUUGUAUCACUUACCCUUUUCUUUGUAGGUAUAAUUUUUUGAAAGCCGUAAGCUUCCGAUCUGUUUCUUCUCCCAUUUCUAAUUGUAGAUAUAAGGCCAAGGUGAGGACUUAUAUGAUAUAUUCUUCAUUUUUUCAUUAUCGCUUCAUAGUACGAGUUUCUAACUAAAUCAUUUGUACCUUCGUGUUAUUUAUAAGCAUACGUGUAGUUGUUUUAUAAAUGAACUAUAUCAUAUAUAUACACAUAUAUAUAUUGCAUUGUAAUGUGUAAACAACUGGAUCUACUUAUAGGUUGCUAAAACAAAUAUAGUUUAUGAUGAUUAAGACUUGUAUGUGGGUGUUUGCAUUGUUUGGGAAUAUGGCAUGUGUGAUUGGUAUAUAUAAGUUAGAGAAGGUCAUAAGGUGAUGCAAGCAUGGUCGAGCUAGAAGAUAAUUUGAAAUUGAUUCAACCCCGUGGAUGCAACUAUGUGGAUGCCAAACUGGUGGAUGCAGAAACUCGUGGAUACAACUCUAUGGAUGGAACUGAGUGGAUGCAACAAUCAAGUAACUAUGAAGCAGAUUUGGAGCUAAAUGGACUCGGUGAUACUCAGACUCGGACCCAAACUGAUGACGGACCAGACAUGACUUUCUCAACCGAAACCAAUCAAGACAAGGAUCCAUUCUGCUUGUCUAAGGGCCCAGUUACUAGAUCACAAACCAAAAGACUGAAAAAAUCAAUUGCUGCUUUGUUUCACUCUGAAACAGACGGAAAUCAAGCCAAGGAACCGAGCCAACUCUUCACUUACUCAGUCUUUGGACUGGUCUAAGUGUUAUUUCAAAAUCUAAGUCUUAUUACUUUUAUUUUCGAUUUUAUUAAGUAUUAGGACCUUUCAACUUCUUUUCCUUCUUUGUUGCUACUUAAACUCUCUUUUGUUUCUGAAAAACCUAAUCACUUUUUUUUAUCAAAACUUUCUUCGAAACUUGUGAUUCCUUUGUUCAGUUCUUGAGCAUUGAUUGCCUAGGAGGUGAUCUCCAUAAGCACCUGUCUUGUUCACUAGUGGGGUUGCCCUCACGGACUAAGGCAUCAAGCAAGUGUUUGAUCAAUCAAUAGAUCUCACACUUAAGUUCAUCAACCAUCUCGACAUCUACCCACAGAUCCAUCAUCUCUUCAUAAUCAGAUCAGUGUUAGUAACCUGAUCCUUCAUCAAAUCGGUUCUGUUUGUGCUAGUAGCAUUCAGUAUCUUCACAACCCUAAUAAUCCGAUCCUCAAGAUUAUUCAAGGGACUGCAUCCUCAUCUGGAUUGCAUUAAGUGGUAUCAGAGCAGAUCUGAAGGCUCUUGAUCUGGGUUUGAUUCUAAAACUUCUCUCUUUGUUUUUGGGAAUCUGUUUUCUAUUCUCUGCAAUUUUCCCUGCAAUUUUCUCAGAAAUCUCUUAUCUUUCUAUAUGUAUAAUCUGAAAGAGGGCCAACC
rnacentral:lncRNA from 1 species